AGAGCACGUAAUGUAAUAAAGGGGCACUGCCGAUAACCGCCCAUAAAGCGCUCAUAAGUGAGCGCGCUGACAGAACGAGCUUAGACAAAAGAAACGCGCUGCAAUGCACUGGUAAACCAAAACCAAACGUGGGGCAAAGGUACCGUCCAGAAGCCAGUGACAGCCAACCACAACCACUGUGGUCACCAGAAGACAAGAAGCCAAGGACCACCCAGCGAGAACCUCGGCAUGAUAGACAAGCCAAUCCCUUCUGGUCAUGUGACUGUGCUGGGUUGGAUUAAAAGGAGGGUCCAGAAGCAGUUCACUUCUGUGCUCUCAAGGGAAAAAGAGCUCCAGCCUAUGAAGGUUGUUCAUUGUGUUGUGUGAGGGCCAUAGGGCAGGGUCACUGAGGGAAUUUGUUGAGACAGGGGGCCUUGCUGUGGAAAGACUCACUGAACUGAGAGUACUAGUGGAAGCAAUAAACUUUUUAAAAUUUAUAAAUCAUGGAA